rnacentral:rRNA from 1 species
CCUUUUGUGGGGUUAAGGCUCCCGGGAGAUGACCGGGUUGAUAGGCCAGAUAUGGAAGACCCGUGAGGGUUGGAGUUGACUGGUACUAAUAAGCCGAGGGCUUGACCA